rnacentral:lncRNA from 1 species
CUGAGUUGAGGAGCAGUGAAAAUGGGAAUGUAAAACAAAGAGUCAACUGAGGAAGAAAAAGAUCUCACCCUGCUAUGUACACUUAUUACAGACUUUAAUUGAUUUGGAAAUAUUUUGCCUUCCCUGCUACAAUAGAGGACAAGGACCCUCUCUAUUUUUCUAGCCAUUUUGUAUCUAGUAUAUAGCACAGUGGCUGAUAAGAAGAAGACUUUUUCUAGUGGCUUAGUAAAUAUGGAAUGACUUGUCUGUACAACUAUUGACUGUGAUCCAAAGUGAAUUGUCUUACAGCUUGCUCUUUUUAAAGAACAUCUUUCCUAAAAACAGCCCCAUGAACCAGACUGGGCUUGGUGGUGAGGCUGACUCUGUUAGAAUCUUUGAAUGGAAGAGCAAUACAACAAUAAUACCAGCAGCAACAACAACAAGAAAUGAUGGUCCUGCUCUUCGCCAUGCUGUGAAGAAACUAAUCUAAGGACACUGAUGAGGCAAGCCUUUGGAGUUCCUCUGCUAUGUUCUUGGAGGAGGAGGAGGAUUGAGGCCAAGCUGGCAGAAGCCUGAAGAGGUCCAGUGCACGGGGUGAGCUUUCCCUAGCCUCUCAGAGGUACGUUUAGAGUGGUCAGUAGGACAAGCUUUUUGCUACUUUCUUAAUAUCGCAGCUUUAUCUGCGUCCGUGCAGCACUGCUCAUGGCUUGUUAGGGGCAACUAGCAUUAAUGGAAAUGAUUUAGAGCCUUUAGUGGGCUUAAGAGCAAUAAGAAUGGAUGCUUUGGUCUCCAGCAGAGCAGAGUUCCUGCUUUAAGGCCUGCAGGGGAAGCAGCAGCAAACUGUGGCUUUGUCUGUAUCCAAAAGAAGAGUGAUCUGUGGAUCAUUUGCAGAGAAGACAGAGCGCGGUAGCUAAAUAAAAAUGCUAGAGCCCUUUUCA